rnacentral:rRNA from 1 species
AUUGAACGCUGGCGGCAGGCCUAACACAUGCAAGUCGAACAAGUGGCGGACGGGUGAGUAAUGUCUGGGAAACUGCCUGAGGGGGGGGGAUAACUACUGGAAACGGUAGCUAAUACCGCAUAACAUUAGAUGAGUCCAGAUGGGAUUAGCUAGUUGGUGGGGUAACGGCUCACCAAGGCGACGAUCCCUAGCUGGUCUGAGAGGAUGACCAGCCACAAUGGAACUGAGAAACGGUCCAGCCUCCUACGGGAGGCAGCGGUGGGGAAUAUUGCCCAAUGGGCGCAAGCCUGAUGCAGCCAUGCCGCGUGUAUGAAGAAGGCCUUCGGGUUGUAAAGUACUUUUGGCGGGGAGGCGUUACCCGCAGAAGAAGCACCGGCUAACUCCGUGCCAGCAGCCGCGGUAAUAC